rnacentral:rRNA from 1 species
CUGUCCUUAGUACGAGAGGACCGGGAUGGACAUACCUCUGGUGUACCAGUUGUCGUGCCAACGGCAUAGCUGGGUAGCUAUGUGUGGACGGGAUAAGUGCUGAAAGCAUCUAAGCAUGAAGCCCCCCUCAAGAUGAGAUUUCCCAACUUCGGUUAUAAGAUCCCUCAAAGAUGAUGAGGUUAAUAGGUUCGAGGUGGAAGCAUGGUGACAUGUGGAGCUGACGAAUACUAAUCGAUCGAAGACUUAAUCAA